UACGUGCUCUCUGAUAGAAGUUCCAGGGUAUUUUUUAUUGAUCAAAAAAUAAAAAUAAAUCCAGGGUUUGGCCGUUUGGGUUUCUUCCGAUGAUUCGAUCUCCAAUUAGAAAAGAAGAAGACGAUUAAACUACUUAUAUCAAAGUUUUAUCUUUUCAUUCUUGAGGCGAUGAAACAUUGAUUCAAAUCAUGGGUCCAUUUAGAAGAACAAAAUGCAAGAGUGGUGCUUCUAAAAAAAAGGGAAAGGCAAGACCUGAAAAGCUUACGAAUUCUCUACGAGGAGCAAUGAAUAGAUAUUUGGUUUCAAAUAAUGACAUCCAUGAAGAAACAAUGAAUGACAGUGAUGAAGAAUGGGAAAUUUGGUUAAUGAGAUGGAAACAAAUGGUGAUUUUUUGGUGAAUGAUGAGAAUGCACAUAAGAAAAAUGAAGCCUAAUUUUCCAGAAAAUCGCAUCAUUAAAAGAACAAGACAUAUUUUGAUGAUGAAAGUGCACCCGAAACCGGUAAAGCAAUUGAAGUAUUGAAUUUCUUAAAGGAUAUGGAAUGUUGCUACCCGAAUGCGUUUAUUGCAUACCAAAUCUUAUUGACAAUUCCAGUUAUAGUCGCCUCGGCCGAACAAAGUUUUUCGAAGUUGAAGUUAAUUAAGAAUUAUCUUCGAUCUACGAUGUCACAAAAAAGGUUGAAUGGGUUAGCAAUGUUAUCUAUUGAGAUUCAGAUGUUAGAUAACAUUGAUUUUGAUAGUAUAAUUGAAGAUUUCGCAUCGGAAAGGGCAGGAAGAUCAGUUUUUAUCAUGAGAUAAGGUAUUUGUUUUGUGUUUUAAACUUUUUUUGGCAGUAUCGUUUGACAUUGGCAGUAUCGUUUGACAAUGUGUAAUAAUUUUAUAUAAAAACACCAGAAUUUCUGUUAUUUUGCUUA